UUCCCUCUUCCUGUCAUGCCCAGCUUGUGCAGAGCGCGCUGACUGAGCUGGCAAGAGGGGUGGGGGCGUCGCGGGGCUGCGUCUGCUCUGAUGAAGGCACCUACUGUUACUGUCCCGGCCCUCGCUGAGUGUCCCCAGACCCGUGGGCCCGCGUCUAUGCCAGGCCUCAGGGAGUCCUCCAGCCUCGGAGCCUCUUCCCAUUCUCAGACCUCAGUGCGGAGAGGAAAUCAGGUGCCUAGUGGGGCACUACCCAUCUGGAAGUAUUUUAUGUGAAGUUUAAGCCUUGAGAUUUCCUGCACCAGGACCACUAAUGUCGCCAUCACAAAUGGCAGGUCCGCACCAGGACUGAUUUACUUCUGACUCACCCAUGGCCUUCAGGCUUAGAGUUGGGGCCUUGUCAGAUUCCUCUCUCUUACCAACUCUGGGCUUUGACUCUGUUGUCCCUAAUGCCAUGCUGAUAAAUAAUUAAUAACUGGCUCUUCAGAAAAAAGAAACAGUUUUGAUCUGCAGCACCUGCCAAUUCCCGUGGUGUAAACACUCUCGCCAUGGCUGACUUCAGGUUACCAGCACAACAUCACUGAGUGCGGGAUUGGAAAGAGAUGCCCAUGGCUGGCUCUUCAGAGUCCUCUGAGCCUUGCUGGUUCUCCCUCACCUGCCACUCAGAUGAUGGGUGCAACAGUCAUUCCUGAGGCUGCCGAGUUCUUUAAAGCAGAAGCAGCUGACUCUUGCUUACGUUUUGCAGUACUUCCUGGGCUCUUGCCUCCUGGUAAUGCAUCCUGGUAAUGCAUUCUUUGCUACCUGAUUUGUUCUUUUCUGCUUUAAAGAAGAUUGGGGAAAAAAAUUUUUUUUUUUUGAGACAGGGUCUCGCUCUGUCACCCAGGCUGAUCAUGGCUCACUGUAUCCUCCACCUCUCAGGCUCAAGGGAACCUCCUACCUCAGCCUCCCAAGUAGCUAAGACCACAGGUAUGUGCCACCACAUUAGGCUAGGUUUUUUUUUUUUUGUAUUUUUGAUAGUAGAGAUGGGGUUUCGCUAUAUUGUCCAGGCUAGUCCUGAGCUCCUGGCCUCAAGUGAGUCACCUACCUUGACCUCUCAAAGUGUUGGGAUUAUAGGCAUGAGCCACCAUGCCCGACCAAUUGAAAUAUUUUAAUCCAGCUUCUCUAGUUGUGUUCAGUGGAAGAGUUGGUCCUAGUCACUAAUCUGCUAUUACUGGAUGGAGGAAUUUCCUAUUUUCUGUUGUAAGGACAGGAAAAAGCAGAAAAUACAGAAAAGGAAGAAAAGAGCAACCAUCUCUCAAGGGUACUGCUGCCUAACAAGAACACUGCUGACAUUUGGAAAACUGUUCUCUGAUUUUAUUCUUAUUGGAAUGCAUAACAACCAGCUAGGGCCCGUGUUGCCGGAGCGGGCAGUUGUGUACAGGGAGACAGCUGGUUAUGGCCAGCUCCUGCUCUUGACAGAGCUUCUCAGCCUCUUGGAGCCUCUGUCCCCUCAGCUGCUGAAGGAACACAUCUCCUGCACUUCUCGAGUUGCUGCCGGAACUAAGGUGACUCCAGGUUCUGCAGUUUGGGCUCCUUAGCCGCUCAGCAAAUGUCAGCAGGUCCAGAAGCAAGGCUCCUCAGCCGCAGAGUGAAUGCAAAUGUCCCUGUUGUAAAUGGCCACAGGGCCCAGGGCUCUGCAACCUUGGAUGCCCGGGAUCAGACCAGCUGUCAGCCGCUUUGGAAUCUGGGUUUAUGGGGGACCAGGGCCUCAUAAAUGUCAAAGCAUGCAUUCUCGGCAGUCCAGGAGUUGGAAAAUGUGUCUCUGAGGGGAGCAUUCCUUCCAUGCACACAGCUGUCCGGCUCACGUUUUUAUCCUUGAGCCAUAAUUAGUCCUCUCCCCUGACCCUGAAUUCCUGCCCCGGCCAAAAGCACGCUGUGGCCCCGGGGCCCGCGGCUCCUCAUGUUCGGUGCCCCUUCUGCUCUCCUGCAGCUGUGGCAGGUGGAAGAGCUGUUGGGGGUGGGAAGGGGGCCUGGAGGGACAAGGAUGGGCUGGGGAGGGCUCCCGAGGCAGUGGACACUGUGGGCUUUGGGGACUGCAUGACUGUGGGGGGGGGGCAUAUGCUGCUGGGCUCCUGGCCUCUUGGAGUCCUCUAUGUGCCAAGAUAGAGCCUGUUACCCUCCCUGAGCAGGUGUGAGCGGACACCCGUCCCCUGCCCUGCAUGGGAGGUGAAUGGUCCACGAAGUGGGGAGAUGAGGGUCAGACCCCGGCCUUCCCACACAGGAUGGCUGCUCAGGCCCAGGACAGUGAGUGAUCAUCAGAAAUCCUGUCCCUGCCCAUAGAGGGUGCUUCCCAGUUCACAGUGACACAGCCUGGCCUGCUCCUCUUCCAGCCACCCAAGGCAAGACACAGAGCAGGAGGCUGAGGCUGGUGUGAGGGAAAGGGAGAUGCAGCAAGGAGACACCCCAACCUUGUCUGAGCUACAGACAGGUGAGGACUUCUCCCUCACCUGGUAUUUUCCACUGUGUUCUGAAGAGCGGGUGACACCCACCCCAGGGUGGAUCCAGGAUGGAUCCCUGGAUUUCCUGCCAUCUACAGUGGCCCUCCUCAUUUCUCCUGGCUAGCCGCAGCCUAGGAUGGAGAAUGCAUCAUGGUCACUGACACUUGGCACCCUUUUCCAGCCUCAAUGGCCUGGCAGAGCCAGUGGGGACACAGCAAUAAUGUGGGUGGCAGUAAUAACAGCAGCUGAACCACCUGAGCACCAUCCUGGCCAGGCACAGCCUGAGCUCUGUGAACAGUGAAGUCCAUCUGGUCUCUCAGUGGCCUGCAAGUGGCUCUAACUAUUAUCCUCAUUCUCUGAAGGAGGAAAACAAGGCAAGGAGAUUUAAAUAAUUGUUAAAGGUCAGGUACCUUCACAAAGGCUGAAGCGGAAGUCAGAUGAUAGUGUCUGGGUGGAGACCCCAUAUUCUUACCCUCAACUCUGAGCCAUCUGCUAUACAACAUGUAUUUGCUGAGUGGAAGGUGUGUGGCCUGAACCAUGCUCACUUCUGGUCCAGAACUCUUUCCUCAGGGCCCUGGGACAUUCACGUUUAGUGUACAGUGGUAUAUGUAUGCUGAGUUCCUACAUUAGGCCAGCCACAUAGUCAGCACUAAUUGCUAAAAGAAUAACUGAAUAAGGAUAAAUGCUUGAGGGGAUGGAUACUCCAUUCUCCAUGAUGUGAUUAUUUCACAUUGCUUGCUUGUAUCAAAACAUCUCAUGUACCUUAUGAAUAUAUACACCUAUUAUGUACUCACAAAAAUUAAAAA